UGAUUGUUGGAAGGAAGCGAAGCUAUCCAGAGGGACCUGGACAGACUGGAGAAGUGGGCCCAUGAGAACCUAAUGAGAUUCAAUAAGGCCAAGUGCAGUGCCCUGGUAUUUAUACAUACAUUUAUAUUUAUACAUAAAUCCCAGGUAUUUAUACGAACUGGGGGAAGAUCUCCUUGAGAGCAGCCCUGUGGAGAAGGACUUGGGGUCCUGGUAGAUGAGAAGCUGGAUGUGAGCCAGCAGUGUGCUUGCAGCCAAAAGGCUGACUGUGUUCUGGCCUGCAUUAAAAAUGGGGUGGCCAGCAGAGAGAGGGAGGUGACUGUGGCCCUCUACUCAGCUCUUGUGAGGCCCCAUCUGCAGUACUGCAUCCAGGGCUGAGGCCCCCAGUACAGGAAGGAUGUGGAGCUCUUGGAGUGGGCCCCGAGGAGGGCCACUAAGAUGAUCAGAGGGCUGGAGCACCUCUCCUGUGAGGAAAGUUUGAGGGGACUGGGAUUGUUUAGCUUGGAGAGGAGAAGGCUCUGGGGAGACCUCAUUGUGGCCUUCCAGUACUUGAGGUGAGCAUAUAAACAGGAGGGGGAAUGGUAGUGAGGGUGGAUAGUGACAGGACAAGGGGGAAUGGUUUCAAACUGGGACAGGGGAUGUUUAGGUUAGACAUUAGGAAGAAGUUUUUCACCCAGAGGGUGGUGACACACUGGAACAGGUUGCCCAAGGAGGCUGUGGAUGCCCCAUCCCUGGAGGCCAUUCAAGGCCAGGCUGGAUGUGGCUGUGGGCAGCCUGGUCUGCUGGUUGACGACCCUGCACACAGCAGGGGGGUUGGAAUGAGAUGAGCAUUGUGGUCCUUUCCAACCCAGGCCACUCUAUGAUCCUGUGAUAUGAUGCUGGCUGGUUUCACUUCUGUGCGUGUUCUCAUGGCUUCCCUUCCACACAGUAUUCUAUUCCCUUGAUUUCAGUUUAAUAAAGACAGUCCUCUUCUUUGUCUUUUGCUGUAUUCCGACCAGAUCCGUGCACAGACCAGGCCUCAGCACAAGAAGUAAGCAAA
ensembl:lncRNA